AUUGGGCAACACAUACGACUCAAAACAUCACGAGAUGAGUUCGUAUCAAAUUAGUAUCAGAGCUAGCGAAUUUGGAGUAAGAAUCGACGUUGUCGGCAUUACGGUAUAGUAGUUUCUCGAAAAAAAACUCGAAAAAAAAUUCAAAAAAAAAUUGUGAAAAAAAAAGAGCUAGUUUUGAAAUUUAGUUUUUGUUUGCUGCCCAAAUUUUAGUCAUUAUUACCUUCUAGUAUUUCGCCACACCCAACCUUUUCAUUUCUUUGUUUCAAGCCUACCUUCCUUUGUCCUAUAAUAAUCUUACCAAGCCCAAACAUCAAGUUUGUAAGCC
rnacentral:lncRNA from 1 species